GGGGAUAUGGCUUAGUGGUAGAGUGCUUGCCUAGCACGCAUGAGGCCCUGGGUUUGAUUCCUCAGUACCA
rnacentral:tRNA from 1 species